rnacentral:lncRNA from 1 species
GAACAGGGGGAGACUUGAAUCCUAGAGAAAACAAAACAAAACCUAACAAAACAGAAAUGAACCCUUGAUGAACCUCUUGCUCUGGACUGGUGCCCUGAAAAUGAAUGAAAUUGUUUUAAAGAUUACCAAGAAGAUAUAAAAUAUCAAAUGCGGCAUUAAUGUAUCUGUGUGAUGAAAACUCUAGUUCAGUCAUUUGAAGACAUGGGGCUUCCUCCCUACCUCGCUCUCAGUCAAGGGUUACAGUUUUACUCCAGGAACAGCAUGAACAUGUCAUUCCACUCCAGCCCUGAAUUGCAGAAUCUCUAUUCUGGGUAGCCAUGAGUGGGAACACUGAUCUCCUUUACCUUCCCCAACACCCACUCUAAUGGCAGAAGUUAUGCCCCAAGCACAACAGAUCGAGGAAACUGGAAUCUAUAACAGCCCUGCCCAACUUGCUUAGGGUAGAGGUUCAAUGUCAACAAGGACAAGUUCAAAAGUUCAGGAUCUAUUUCCCUGCCCAGAGUACCACUUGUUGAGUAGAGGUGUCACCCUAAAAGAAGUGGGCCACUGCCUUCACCAUCAGCCCAGCUAAAGUGGCACAGAAGUUCUAUCCAGAGGAGAGGCAGAAAAUAAGAACAAAGAGCUCAGAUCUCUUCCUAAAUGAGUUUACUUAAUUUGGAAGAAACUGUGAGUUCAUGACUGAGGGCAUUGUUGAACACAAUGGAGAUCACCAAAUGAGCAAUUAAGAAGAGACUUGUAGCUCUCUGAUACCCAUAACAAAAAGCAAAAUUGUAGAUGAGAUAGAUAUUUAAUAGAGAGAACCAGAGAAUAAGAUAAGAGCCUUCAUGGGUUCAGAGCAGCCUUCAAGACUGGAAAGAUCCUCCCCCCGCAGAGGGGCCUUACUUUUAACUGGAUCAAACUGUGGAACAAUUUAUGCCUCAAAGCAUUGCUUCAAAAAAAUAGAACAAUUAGAAAGCAAUUUGUGGAUGCUAAAAGCUAGGCAUGAUAUUAAUAGAAGCAGAAUUUCCCAGGUGCUCAGAGAGAUUAUGUAGGCCAAGUAUGCACAUUCUGAGAAGAAACAUCAGAAGCUAUACACUACUGGGGAAAUAGAAUUCACUGAAAUAGUCCAGUCAUCUCACAUUACUAAACAAAUAGACACACAAACAAGAACAAACAAGAAGUGCCAAAAGGGGUGAGAAAGAUAAGAAUUCAGAGUUGCUACAGUAUAUGAAGUAAAAUAUCCAGUUUUCAAUUCAAAAUCAUGAGACAUGCAAAGCAACAGGAAAGUGUGAGCCAUAUACAGGAAUAUUGUCUGCUUUGUAGAGGCAGACGAUAAAAUCUGCCUCUAGGAAGGCCCAGAUGUCAGAUUUAACAGAAUAAAAAGAACUGAGUCAAAGUAUCCCUUAUAAAUAUAUCAAAAAACUAAAGGGAACCAUGCUUAAAUAUGUUAAAAGAAGCUAUGAUGACAAUGUUUUAGCUGAGAAGAUUAUAAACAUAGCCACAUGUAAGUUCUGGAGUGAAAAGUUCUAUCAUCAAAAUAUAAAAUCCACUAGAGAGGCUCAACAUUAUAUUUGAUACAGUUAGCACAUUUGAAGAUAAAUUGAUAGAGAUUAUGUGACCCAAAAAACAGAGAGAAAAUCAAAUUUUAAAAAAUGUAUAGAAUCUCAGAGAAAUGUGGACACCAUUAAGCAUACCAACAUAUACAUAAAGGGUGUACCUGAAAAAGAGAAGAGAAAGGAGCAGAAAAAAAUAUUUUAAGAAUAAUGAGUGAAAACUAAAAAUUGAUGAAAAAAUGAUCUGCACAUCAAAGAAGCCCAUUGAACCCCAAGUAGGAUGAAUGCAAAAAGAUCUACCCAGGUAUAUCAGAGUAAGAAUGCUGAAAUCUAAAGACAGAAAAUACUGCAAGCAGCAAGUGGAAAAUGACUUUGCUUGGACACAGGAAACUUAGUGAGAUUAAGAUCUUCUCAUCAGGAAUAAUGGCGACCAGGAAAGAGUGGGGUGACAUAUUCAAAGUACUGAAAGAAGAAAUAAAAAACAAAAAAAAGCUGUCAACCAAGAAUUAUACAUCCAGCAAAACUAUCUGUAAAAAUGAAGAUGAAAUAAAUAUAUUCUCAGAAAAAAAAAAAAAAAAAA